rnacentral:rRNA from 1 species
UACGUAGGGGGCUAGCGUUGUUCGGAAUUACUGGGCGUAAAGCGCACGUAGGCGGAUACUUAAGUUAGGGGUGAAAUCCCAGGGCUCAACCCUGGAACUGCCUUUAAUACUGGGUAUCUUGAGUUCGAGAGAGGUGAGUGGAAUUCCGAGUGUAGAGGUGAAAUUCGUAGAUAUUCGGAGGAACACCAGUGGCGAAGGCGGCUCACUGGCUCGAUACUGACGCUGAGGUGCGAAAGCGUGGGGAGCGAACAGG